rnacentral:misc_RNA from 1 species
GAUGAAGAACGUAGCGAAAUGCGAUACGUAAUGUGAAUUGCAGAAUUCAGUGAAUCAUCGAGUCUUUGAACGCACAUUGCGCCCCCUGGUAUUCCGGGGGGCAUGCCUGUCCGAGCGUCAUUGCUGCCCUCAAGCACGGCUUGUGUGUUGGGCCUCCGUCCUCCUCCCGGGGGACGGGCCCGAAAGGCAGCGGCGGCACCGCGUCCGGUCCUCGAGCGUUGGGGCUUCGUCACCCGCUCUUGUAGGCCCGGCCGGCGCUUGCCGACACAUCAAUCUUUUUUCCAGGUUGACCUCGGAUCAGGUAGGGAUACCCGCUGAACUUAAGCAUAUCAAUAAGCGGAGGA